rnacentral:lncRNA from 1 species
UUAUUCUGAUUGUGUACUGAUAUUGUUAUGUAAAUGAAGAUUAUUCUCUAUUUGGUUAUAUUCUUAAUGUAUACUGUAUCUCAUAUGAAGGUUACUUAUAUUUUUGAAAAUAAGUGUUCUGCAACAUGAAAAAGGUUUUCUUCAAAUAUAUAUUUUCUUAUAUUUAAUUUAUUAUAUUUUCCAUGAUUUUACGAAUUAUAUAUAUGUGUAUUUUAUGCAUCGGUAAUAUGUGUGGAUGUGUUAAAAAUGUGUUACCAAUGAUAUUUGUGUUUGGCAAAUGUUUUUAAUAUUUAUUUACCAUGUUAUUAAUUACUAUAUAUUUUGAUUUGGAAACAAAUAAAUUAUUUUAGCUACUUUUUUUCAUAUAAUUGAUUUUGUGUACAUUAAAAUAUUUUUAUAAAAGAUGUUUUCUGGAAACAAAAAAAAAAAAAGAGAUUUUGUUUAGUUCUUAAUUAUUUAUUAAAUAAUGUUUUUACUCCUGUUCCUUGGAUAUCAGGUUUGGUCAGUGUAUCAGUGUUGGCCAGUUGGGCAAGGUUAUAUUAUAUUUAAUAUAUGUUAGUCCUAAACCUUACUGGUGUACUGUUAGAAAUCAUAGGGUUAAAAAGAUUGUAUUCUUAUUGUCUAGUAGACUGAUAAUCCUUUAUUUUAUGAUUAAAAAUCUGUGUAGGGCUCAGUGCUGCGAGUUAUAAGUGAUUGUUUUGCUAAGGUAAGAUUACUUUUCGCACUUUCAGAAUUGUUUCAAAUGCUUUAUACUGCUUUGUUGUGAAAGUUUGGGAUUGAUAAAAUAUUUUAGAUAUAAGGAAUUCCCAGCUAGCUAUGAAUUAUGAACCUGUUAGUAAUUGCGUAUAGUUCCGGAACUAGAUUAUGAUACCUUACUAGGGCGUGCUUGGCACAAUUUAUGAUACCUUAGUAAGGGGCGCAUUAUUGACACCUAUGAACCAAUGAUACCGUGCCACCGGGUAUUAGUGGCCUAGCGAACUGUGGAAUUUACUUUAUGAAAUAUUGGUUUAUGAUUUUUGGUUAUGAAAUUGUGAACAAUGGCAAGUCUUGAUAGUUUUUGGUCUGUUAGUCGAAUUUGUUUUCUUACUGGGCUGUGUAGCUCACGACUUACAAAUUUCAGGUUAAUGUUAUUGGCAAGGCUUUGGAGUUGGAUUUGAUUGGAGUGGGCUAGAGUCUAAUAAUAGUGAUCAUAUUUUAUUUUCAGUUAUUUUAGGAGCUGCGUCUCCAUGAAGGAUAUUAGUUUAUGUUUCAGAAUUGAGAUUUUUGAGAGAUUGAUUUAUGAUAUUAUGUGACUUUCUUUAUAUUAUUUAUGGAUUAAAUGUGGAAUUUCUAUUAUUUGAUAGAAUGAUAAUAGUCCGAAAAAUCGGGCUGUUACAGUUGGUAUUCAGAGCCUAGGUUAGCUUCCUGUAGACUAUCUGCUAGGAUUAAGUUAUGUCGUUAGGGAUAAAGAAUUAUCUUUAGAAACAAAUUUUUAAUAUAUCGUUUUUAAAAUUUGUGUAGAUGGCAGAUAAUGACAAUGUUUGGGGUCUGGAUGAAGAGUUUGAGGACGAUUUUGAGGAAGACCCCGAGGAGGACAUUGAAUCUGUAAUUUCACUCGAGAUAGAUGAGGAUGCUCCUCAACCCGAUUAUGAUAGUGAGGACUCGGUUAAGGAAUCUUCCUUUCCCGAGGUUGUGUGUCAGCCAUGUAGGGAUGAUGAGAUAGCCAAGUUAAAGGGAGAGAAUGCAUUACUAAAAUUGAAACUCAAACUUAGAGAAGAAGAAGCUGAGGGAGCAAAGUUUAAUUUAGAAAUGAAAUAUAAUGUUCUUUACACAGCUUACAUAAACCAUCUUAAGGACUGCCGACAUCAAAAAGAUAAGGCUGCUAGAGUGCUGGAAAUAGUAAGAAGGGAUACUAGAGCCUCCGAACGUUCAAUAAACUUUAUUUGUCGAUGGCCAUUAUCGCGAUGUCCCGCAUGGAUCAAGAGGAUCACCACGGAUUUUCUACAAGGGCAUCGAAGAGCAAUCGCGACGACUAGAGCAAGGGUGACUGAGAUUUUAGAAGAAAUUUAGUUUAUUAUUUAGAUAGUUUGGUUUAUGGAUUGUUUCUCUUAAAUAUCAAGUCGCGUAGGUCUAGUUUUUAUUUGGUAUUGUUUGAAGACACAUUUUGUGGCCUAUUUCGAGCCUAGAUUAAUAAAUUUAGUAUUAUUGUUUCAACAUUUUUAUGAAUUUCAUUUAUUGGAUUAUGAAUAUAUCUACCUUCUUGAUAAUUAUGAUCCAUAUUAUAGAUAGUUUAUUCUUGUUUGAAGGAAUCAUGAGUGCUCGACGUGGAGGUGCUAACAAUCGCAACAACAGAAACAACGGAAGCGGUGGAAACAAUAACAAUAACAAUAAUAAUGAGGGUGGAAAUAUGUUGAACCAGCUCGCGCAAACCUUGGCAACACUCGUUGGGAAUCAACAACCAGCUCAACGAAGUAUUGUGUCAGAAUUCAAGCGUUUGAACCCCCCAACAUUUGAUGGUGCAACUGACCCUGCUAUUGUGGAAAAAUGGAUCCAAGAGAUGGAAAAGGCAUUUGAAUUGAUGGGAAGUAAUGAUGGGCAAAAGGUUACUUUAGCUGUGUAUCAAUUACAGGGCAGUGCAUAUGAUUGGUGGCUGAUGGAGCAAAGGAGGAAUGAGGAAAAUGCUGAUCCGAUGACAUGGGAUAGAUUCAAGACGGCAUUGACAGAUAAAUACUUUCCAAGAACUAUUCGUGUGCAAAAAGAGAGGGAUUUCAUUAGGCUUGAGCAGGGAGAUAGGACGGUAGUAGAGUAUGAAGCAGAGUUUGCGAGGCUCUCCAAAUAUGCUCCUACCUUAGUUGCUGACGAGAUCAGUCGGGCUAGAAGAUUGGAGGAAGGACUUAGAGAAAAUAUUAGGCAUGCUGUUGCAAAUUUUGAGUUAACCACGUAUGAGCAAGUACUUAACAAGGCAUUAGUGGUUGAAAGGGGCAUGGUCGAGGCAUUAAAGAAGAAAGAUGAAGAAACUAAGAAGCGAAGCGAGCCUUCAGGAGGAUUUAAUGGUACUGGAUCGUCGAAGAAGUUUAACAAUCGAGGAACGGGUGGAAAUGCAAACAAAGGGAAUCAAGGGGGAAAGCUUCAAUGUUCAAGGUGUGGUCGUAAUCACUUGGAUAAGGACUGCCGAUGGAACACAGGAGCAUGUUUCAGUUGCGGUGAGAUGGGACAUAGAGUUGCUGAAUGUCCAAAACGUGACCCAACCAGAGACAAAGACAAUGGGAACAAAGCAACCUUAGCGGCUUUACUUGGUCCAAAUUAUGGGCGAGUAUACCAACACGAACCGAAAGAAAAUUAAGGUAAGAUUUUCCCUAUUUUUAUUUUAUUUUAAGAGUACAUUACAUGUAUGUCUUUAGGUGUAAAUUUGGGGACCAAAUUUUUUUUAAGGAGGGUAGAAUGUAAUAUUCGUAAUUUUUUUUAUAUUUAAUUGUUAUGUAUAUAUAUAUGUAUUGUAUAAAUUUUUGAAAAAGUAUUUAUUGUGCAAUAUUUUAUUAGUAUUUUAUGAUGCAAAUAUUUUAUUGUGAAAACUUUUACUAAUAUUUUAAAUUGCAAGAUUUUAUUUUAUUAUGAAAUAUAUUAUUAGUAUUUUAUUGUGUAGGAUUUAAAAGUAUGUUGUUAAUAAGAUUUUAUUAAUGUUUGGUUUAUAAGGUUUUAUAAAUAUUAUGUGGUUUUAGUUUUAAAAAGAGUAAACAUCCGUGUCCUAUUUUUAAUACGUAAGGUUUAUCCUUAUUAUGAUUAGUACUGUUAAUUAAGAUAUCUUUUACGUAACAAAUAGGUUAUAGCUUAUAUAUACCGUAGCCUUGUGAAGGUUUUAACCACAAAAGGUACGCUUUCUUUUAACCCUACUGUUAUUCUCUACUGUCGUUGUGUUUUCUUUAUAUUUCUAUACUGAUGAAGCUGUGAUAUAAAAAAUAGGUUACGUACAGUAUGUUUUGAAACCCUCCUGUCAUUCUCUCUGAUUGUGUAGUUAUACUGAUAUCUCUGAUUGUGUAGUGAUACUGAUAGAUAAAAAAUAGGUUAUGUACAGUACGUUUUCAAACCCUCCUGUUAUUCUCUCUGUUAUUCUGAUUGUGUACUGAUAUUGUUAUGUAAAUGAAGAUUAUUCUCUAUUUGGUUAUAUUCUUAAUGUAUACUGUAUCUCAUAUGAAGGUUACUUAUAUUUUUGAAAAUAAGUGUUCUGCAACAUGAAAAAGGUUUUCUUCAAAUAUAUAUUUUCUUAUAUUUAAUUUAUUAUAUUUUCCAUGAUUUUACGAAUUAUAUAUAUGUGUAUUUUAU